CCAGACUCCUACGGGAGGCAGCAGUGGGGGAUAUUGCUCAAUGGGGGGAACCCUGAUGCAGCGACGCCGCGUGGGUGAAGGAGCGUUUCGGCGCGUAAAGCCCUAUCGGCAGGGAAGAAAAUGACGGUAUCUGACUAAUAAGCCCCGGCUAACUCCGUGCCAGCAGCCGCGGUAAUACGGAGGGGGCAAGCGUUAUCCGGAUUUACUGGGCGUAAAGGGCGCGUAGACGGCAGGGCAAGUCUGGAGUGAAAGCCCGGGGCCCAACCCCGGGACUGCUUUGGAAACUGCUAUGCUGGAGUGCUGGAGAGGUAAGCGGAAUUCCUGGUGUAGCGGUGAAAUGCGUAGAUAUUAGGAGGAACACCAGUGGCGAAGGCGGCUUACUGGACAGUAACUGACGUUGAGGCUCGAAAGCGUGGGGAGCAAACAGGAUUAGAUACCCCAGUAAAA
rnacentral:rRNA from 1 species